AGAGACUGCGCCUGCGCGGGCACGAGACAACCUCUCCGCGAUGACUGCCAGCUCAGUAGAGCAGCUGCGGAAGGAGGGCAAUGAGCUGUUCAAAUGUGGAGACUACGGGGGCGCUCUGGCGGCCUACACUCAGGCCCUGGGUCUGGACGCGACGCCCCAGGACCAGGCCAUUCUGCACCGGAACCGGGCCGCCUGCCACCUCAAGCUGGAAGAUUACGACAAAGCAGAAACAGAGGCAUCCAAAGCUACCCUCACCUUUUCUGAGGCUGAAGCACCGAGCCCCACAUUCGUCCCCCCCACCUUCUUCUGGCCUUUCCUCGAGAUCUUUCCCUACUGCUCUUGCCUGGAGACAGUGGCCUCAUGGGUGCUGACAGCGCUCCUGUUUGUGCUCAGCCAUUGAAAAGGAUGGUGGGGAUGUCAAAGCACUCUACCGGCGGAGCCAAGCCCUAGAGAAGCUGGGCCGCCUGGACCAGGCUGUCCUUGACCUGCAGAGAUGUGUGAGCUUGGAGCCCAAGAACAAAGUUUUCCAGGAGGCCUUGCGGAACAUCGGGGGCCAGAUUCAGG
rnacentral:sRNA from 1 species